AGCAGAUUGGAGCAACUUUUAAAGAGGAACACUUAAAGAGGAUACCGGUUUUAACCAAUGCAAAUGAUACAGAAUGGAAAAGGUUAUGCAGAUUGAUUUCCUGCUUCAAGCAAACUGGACAGCUGCAUCUUCCUCUCACGAGGACAACACAAGCAAGGAUUUAUAAGGAUAACCACGCUGGGACUCAACAGUAAGUGGAAAAAAAAGACAUUAGCCCAACCCUGAAGACAAAUUUAUCUAGAAUUGAAUGGAAAAGCAACCAAAACAAUUAUAUGUACCAAAAAAGAACUGUGCUCCUGAAAAGGCCAAUGCCACCAUGUCGACAACUUCAACAACUUGUGUCAGCACUAAAUAUGCUAAGUGUAGCAUAAUUCGUGCAUCUGACUGAUACCUUUGCAUAUAUGUACCUAGAGGUCAAAUUCAGGUGUUCUGACAAGAAGUGUCCUAGGAAAAACGAUGGGAGGACACACGGCAGUGAUGGAUACUCACCUGGCAUUUGAUCUUUUAACAUCGGAGAAAGAAGAGGAAAGCGUGGCUCAUAACUCUGACAUUUUUAGAAGUACUUGGCAAUUUGGCAAUGCUGGUACUGGGAGGGGUCUAUGUGAGCGUGGUUACCGUUAAGUAUGUAUUUUCCACAUGCAAUUGUGAUUUUAAAGUAUAAACUGUCUUCUUUAAAUACGUUGGUGUACACUGUCAGCACAGCGAAGAUGCUGAUGUCUGAGAACCUACUAAUCUAACAUUUUUCCUCUACUAUUUGCAGAAAUUCAAGGAUACUUCUUGUGCAGUAAUACGUUACUGCACAAAGUAGGAUCUUAUUCUGCAGCCACCUGAGAAAAAAAAAAAAGGGAGAGGGAAUGGUAAUGCAGUCAGUACUGAGGCUUAACUAUUUUCCUCUCUCUCUCUUUCUUUUUUCUGUUGAUGAACAUUUAGUUCCAACAAACCACAGAACUGCCUAGAGCCAAGGUCAAAUCUCUAUAAAGGCUAGGAGAGGUGCAGACACUAACUUGGAGGGAUAUAUCUGCGGAGAGUACUGAUGUGCUGAUCUUGGACUGUAGCCGCUACUUGUUAUUACUGCAAAACAGAAAACAAGAGAACGUCACUUUAAAAAGUCAUGAAAUCAAUACAGCCAAACAUUCUAAACACUAAUAAAGUCACAUUGGCAGAAAAUCUCAUUGAAAUUCAAAGCUUUUCAUCUAAGUAGAUGCCAUCUAACCUGUGACAUCCUAAUACAAAAAUUAAAACAUGGCACUCAUAAAUCACUCAUGUUGUAAAGAACUUUUUUCUUGGUAUGAGCAUAUAGCAGCUUUUAAGCUUGACUAGCAUGCUUCUGACUAUAUUUUAGAGACCUACACUUCACACAUAAUCUGUGAUCCACACACUAUAGAUCUUUCAAAUUUGCAAGUUGCAUUAAAAUUGCCAUUUAAAAAGAGUUCUGUAAUUUAACAUAUGGUAUUGCAUGAGAUUGAAAUAACAUGCAUAUAAGUUUAAAUUCUCACAUUAACAAGUUUAAUUUCAACACUGGAUAGGAAAAAUAUGUCUUAUUUGGACACAAUUUUGAUCAGCUUAGCAGUGAUGGAAGAUAUCAGAUUGACUGCAGUAACUGUCCUAGAAAAUGAAUUUCCUUCCUUAUCAUCAGGCUGAUUAGAACACAGGUACUAACAAUGAUAUUUUAUUACAAAUGUAAGCAUAAACAGUCCUGUACAGUAGCCAUCAAAAUCUUGCAUGUCUAUACUAUUAACAGCUGCAUUCUUCCAAGAAAGCUAACAGAACGAUAGUCAUAUCCCAUUAAAAUUUCAUUCAGAAGCGGUGCUCACACUGGAUUAGUUCCAAGUGUUUGGAAGUUUCCUUUGACCAUCUGUCUUGACAAAGACAGAUGUAUUCCAAAUACAUGUAGUCUAAAGUGCUGAACCAAUCCCUUCAGAGCAAAUCCAUACUGGGCAAACAUACAGAGUGUCUUUAUUAGGCCAUCUGCUGUUCAUUCACUUUUCAAAAGAUUAAAGUAGUACGCAAUGAAGCACUGGAAUUUCUUUAGUCUAAUCAAUCAUAGCUGUACUUCAAAGUAUACCCUCUUCCUGAGUUGUUCGUAAUGGUAGCAGAAACGAACUUCCAGAACUGUAUUAGUGACAAAUAGGUUUAGGUUCCUAACUAUUUUAUGAAACAUGAUAUAUUUCUACAUCUAGGUCUAAUUAAUGUCUCUGAAAUCUAUUGCUUUGAACACAUGCAGAAUUUCAUAUUUUUAAAGCUAGUUUAAACACAUUUAGAACACGUAGGUCUUAAAAGGAAAAUACAGUAGAAGAAAAACCAUUAGCUUCUUUUUUAAAGGUGCAUGGAGUAUGGCUUGAAAAUAAAGAAGAAUUGGAUAAUAAUUUUUAGAACAUGGGCCAUCAGUUUUCAUAAAACAGAGUUGACGGCUGAAAAGAUAUUAAGGGUUUUCCUGUAAUGGAAAUCUGCUGAAUUUACAUAUUCCAUGUGGAAGUUCUUUCUUUUUGAGAAUGCCUUGCCAUGGUUUAAGCUCAAUUUGCAGAGUGAGCCACUAGGUGUGCAUAAAGCUAUUCUCAGAUACAGGCAAAGUUAAGAGCUGCAUACAUCAACAGAAAUGGCCCAUAAAACUCCAAAGGAUCCUCUUAUUUGUUCAACUCUGGAAGAGCAAUCACUCUUCCCUGUUGUAUCGCUGCGACCUUUCUGAAGACGCGUAAGAGUUAACAAAGUGACCUUGGUGAUUUCUCAGGCCUGUUUUUUUUAUUCUUUAUCCAUAUACCUUAUUUCAAAAAUUCAGACAAGAAAAGAAAGUAUUUUUGGAAAUGUGUCUGGCUUUUAAAUUUUCUAUUUCUUUCAGUUUUCCUAAUGACACUAGUGGCGUAGGCAAGAGACAGAGAAACAGUCAAGUGCCCCAAAAGUAAACUGUGUAUCUUUUAAAUGAAAAGUCUUGUCCUUUCACUCUCUCUGGUAGCUUGUCACAUCAGUUUGUACGCAACAUUUUAAACUGUUAGAUAUUUGGGAAACACGUUGGUGUAAGGCCUACCAUAAAAGAACACUAUGACUGAGUAGAGCCUGUGGACUGGACCUAUGUAUCACAGCUGAGAUUAUGUUAAAGUCUAAUAAUAUUCAGAAUUGCCAGAUUUCACUGCUGGAUGUCUUCCUAAUCCUACUUUGCUUUUGGUGGGGAGGGCUGGCAAUGGAAGAGAUGGUGAAGGGAGGUUGUUACGUUUUUUAUAAUUAUACUACCUUACAUAGCCAUUUCUAAGAACAGGGCUAGACACCAUUACAUUACUUUGCUCAUGCUGAAAACAAAACUGUCACUCUCUUCUCCGAAAAGCUCGAAUAUUUCUAAGACUUCAUUACUUGAAUUUUCCAAAGGAAUGGUCUUCAGGGCUGGUAAAAUACCCUUGAUUUCUCAGUUUCUCAUCAAGUUACACACCUCUGGAAAAAAAAAAAACCCACAGUUUGUGCAUGCUGUGUAGAGGCACGAUAGGGGAUGUUUGCAGGUGAAUUUCCUUUUCACUGAGCCCACCUUCUCUGCAAACUGCAGUUGCUGGCUGAUGUGUGCCCUGCAGGGUUUCUGCACUGCUACCCUCUCUCUAGCUGUGGGGAGGUAAGAGCUUCUGGAGUAAAAUGUUCAAGGUGGAGGUUCCGAAACAGGAACGAGGGACUGGCUGGAGGAGAGAAGUCUAAGAAAAGAGCCCCUUGGGCUGGAAAUUUGAAGACGGGACGGGAAACAGGUUAAGGCCUGAAGGUACUGGCUGGGAAAAGAAAUCGUUUACCAAGGUUGUCUGAGAUGGAGAGAUAAAGGUUGUGAACGGGACAGAACAAGACAGAGAGAGGGAAAAAGACAAUUGUGGAGAAAAAGCAGCAGUACCUGUGCCCUAUGGGGCACACUCCCAGCUAGAGCGUGGCAGAGCUGAGGCUCACUAUGGUGCCGAGGGCACAUUCCAGUCCCAACUAAUUUUGAUCCGCAGAGGGCAUGACAAGCUAACAGACAGAUCUUACCACUUACUCUGUUAGCUUAAUUGGCAAAGGUGGCUGUGAAGAAUUUAUAUGAUCAUAAAAUGUGCUGAUAGCAUGCGCUGGAUUCAGUAUAGUCACAUGCUGGAAUAUCUUAUUUUUCCAUUACACAUCUGGAAAAUUCUGUGCAAAGAAGUUAGGUUAAAAGGAUCUCAUUUAAAUAACGAAUCACAAUGUAUAAACACAAGGUAACCAAAGGUUGUGCAGCAGUGACGUUUCCUACCUUUGCCUUUCUAUCCUUCAGAUUUUUUUUUAAUAUUCUUUUUCUGUGUCAUAAAUUGUAAGCAGAAAGGAUGAUGGGAAUGUCAAAUGUCUCUCUCUGCUCCAUUAAAAUGCUAAAGAGCUCUCAGACUAAUCCAGUAUUCCAAGCAACUUAAGCACAAGAAAUGCAUGUGCUAAUGAUACAUGAGUUAAAGCAAAUUCACAGAUUAUGAAAAUGCUCACUUUAAGACUGUUCUGCAGUUCUCCACAUCCUGUAAAUAUCCACCCCAGGAAGAGUUUGCUACAGUAUCACAGAGACUCAAAUACAAUAUGCUGAUAUUAAUUACCAACCGCCAUUCUCUGAAGAAAAAGGAGGAGGAAGAGGGGUGCACAAAAUAAUCUCUCUACCUUGUUAACCCGUGCUAAUAAGCAAAAAUUUUCCCAGUGGUAACUCCACAGAAUGGUGUAAUGAGAGCUUUGAGUAUGAGCUGUAAUACCAGAGCCUGGGUGAGGCCACUGGGACAACUUUCAACUCAUUAGAUCAACAUGGUGUAUUUUUCAAUUUAAACGUUGCUUUGUGGGACUUCAGAUGCCAGGUUUAUUACUUAGUAUAUUCAAUUUACACUAUUGACGCACGAUUUGAAUCUAGUAUAUUCAGUACAAACUCGCAGGUUUAUCAUCGUGAAUCUUAAAGCCAGCACGUCCAUUUCCGAAGUAUUUCUGAUUACAAAACACUAGGGAAAGCCAGCAGGAUAAGUGUUCCAGAGCAAUUUAAAAAAGCUGCAAUGUUUAUCCAUGAAAAAUCAGCGUGCAUCACAGUUACUUGUGAGUUCUAAUGUGUCCUUCCUGCCAUUAUACCUCACAGAGAUCAUCACUUUCUAUGUUAAAGCAGGUCAUUAGGUAUAGAGCUGGUUCUACCUUACAUCCUGGAGUUCAGCCUCUCACCCGGCUUUAGGAAACAUCAUGGGUUUUUGUUGUUCUUUGAGCAUGGAAGUCAAUUUUAAUGGACAGAAUAUCUGAAUGAGAGAAAUUCUACACGGCAGACUCUCAAAGGGGCCUUAGCAGUACGAGUUCUCUUUUCACCCACAUCUCAUUUCAUAAAAGUAUUUAAUAACAGAAACAAACAUUUAAUAACAUAAUUAAAUUGUUCCAUAUUCAUCAAAGAAUGCUUACGUCCUUCUGCCCUGUGAAUGUAAGACAGAGUAGGUGAUACCCCUGUUAGUGCUCUGUAAGUCUACGCAUCUGCAUGAAAUGAGAACACAGUUGUUCUGAAAGCUGCAGGAAGGCACUAGCAUUAUGAUUUUGUCAUAGCUGGGAAUGACACAUAUAUGUAACUGUUUAUUAGGGAAAAAAUAACAAUGAUGUUCAGUGUUAUGCUAUGUUACCCACUGUUUUCAAUUGCGGCUGGUUUGCCAAAAAAGGUAUCUUUCUACUUUUUAGUAUUUAUUGUCAUUGGCAAUCCCUUAAGCUUCCCAAAUAACUAGCUAGGUUAAAACAUGAAACAUUUAUUUUUAUUAAGUGAGCUUUUAUUGUUCCUUACCACUUCUGUCACAAAGCUGAUCCAAUCAAGUUGUCCAAUUUGCAAGUACCAGUAAAAGGCAAGAGUGUAAAUACUGGAUAUAAUUUUUAUUUAAGACUCAAAAUGUUACCAAGGCAGGCUCUGCCUCUUACUCUGAUGUGAUGAAGACUAGACAUUACUCAGAUAGACAGACUAUUGAUCUUCCCACUUGGAAUGACCACACUCAUUUAUUUCAUACCUGAGCUUGUGGCCUAACCCGAGAAUCACGCUCCUUU